UACUGAAUCUUUUGCAAUUUGUUCAAUUAAUAAUGGAGACUAUAAAUAAGAAUGCUGUUGGUGGAAAGCGGUGUAUUGCAGCUGUCUUUAGCACCGAGACACAGCCGGUGUUUGUUUUUAACACAGAGCGGUCAAGCGAACAUGUUUCUCUUCGUCAACCAGCAUGUUUUUGGAUGGGAAAAUUGUCAUAUAUAUCUUACAGCUGACAUCAUUGGCUUAUUCGUCCUCCUGCAGUAGCUGUUUAUAAGGCAGCUGUGAGCCUGGCUCUUCGGCUUCUCUCUGAGACACUACCUCGAGGACACCUUGAGGACACAACGUCACCCAGCCUGCUGCGGUCGUGUCGAUUCUACUGACCUGACCGGUCAUGUGAUCACAGCACAUCAGGAUACCUUGAGGACACAACGUCAUCCAGCCUGCUGCGGACGUGUCGAUUCUACUGACCAAACAGGUCAUGUGGCUUUUUGAACCAUGUAAAGUCAUGUUUUAUGAAAUCGCAUUGUCCCCUUUUGAAAUAAACUAAUCUAAAAAAUUAAAAAA